GAUGAACGCUGGCGGCGUGCCUAAUACAUGCAAGUCGAGCGAACAGAUGAGGAGCUUGCUCCUCUGACGUUAGCGGCGGACGGGUGAGUAACACGUGGAUAACCUACCUAUAAGACUGGUAUAACUUCGGGAAACCGGAGCUAAUACCGGAUAAUAUAUUGAACCGCAUGGUUCAAUAGUGAAAGACGGUUUUGCUGUCACUUAUAGAUGGUUCCGCGCCGCAUUAGCUAGUUGGUAAGGUAACGGCUUACCAAGGCAACUAUGCGUAGCCGACCUGUGAGGGUGAUCGGCCACACUGGAACUGAGACACGGUCCAGACUCCUACGGGAGGCAGCAGUAGGGAAUCUUCCGCAAUGGGCGAAAGCUUGACGGAGCAACGCCGCGUGAGUGAUGAAGGUCUUCGGAUCGUAAAACUCUGUUAUUAGGGAAGAACAAAUGUCUAAGUAACUAUGCACGUCUUGACGGUACCUAAUCAGAAAGCCACGGCUAACUACGUG
rnacentral:rRNA from 1 species